AUUGAACGCUGGCGGCAUGCUUUACACAUGCAAGUCGAACGGCAGCGCGGGGCAACCUGGCGGCGAGUGGCGAACGGGUGAGUAAUAUAUCGGAACGUACCCAAGAGUGGGGGAUAACGCAGCGAAAGCUGCGCUAAUACCGCAUACGAUCUAAGGAUGAAAGCGGGGGAUCGCAAGACCUCGUGCUCCUGGAGCGGCCGAUAUCUGAUUAGCUAGUUGGUAGGGUAAUGGCCUACCAAGGCGACGAUCAGUAGCUGGUCUGAGAGGACGACCAGCCACACUGGAACUGAGACACGGUCCAGACACCUACGGGUGGCAG
rnacentral:rRNA from 1 species